rnacentral:rRNA from 1 species
AACGAACGUUGGCGGCGUGGAUUAGGCAUGCAAGUCGUAACGCGAAAGAGGGGGCAACUCCUCGAGUAAAGUGGCGAACGGGUGAGUAACGCGUAGGAAACCUGCCUUCGAGAUGGGGGAUAACACUCCUAACGGGGUGCUAAUACCGAAUGACACUGCGGGAUCGCAUGGUUCUGCAGUCAAAGGUGGCCUCUGCUUGCAAGCUACCACUCAAAGAUGGUCCU